AUUGAACGCUGGCGGCAGGCCUAACACAUGCAAGUCGAACGAGUGGCGGACGGGUGAGUAACACGUGGGAACCUACCCAUCAGAGGGGGAUAACACUUGGAAACAGGUGCUAAUACCGCAUACCAUCGGAUGUGCCCAGAUGGGAUUAGCUAGUAGGUGGGGUAACGGCUCACCUAGGCGCCGAUCCCUAGCUGGUCGGAGAGGAUGACCAGCCACACUGGAACUGAGACACGGUCCAGACUCCUACGGGAGGCAGCAGUGGGGAAGAUUGCACAAGGGGCGCAAGCCUGAUGCAGCCAUGCCGCGUGUAUGAAGAAGGCCUUCGGGUUGUAAAGUACUUUCAGCGAGGAGGCGUUACUCGCAGAAGAAGCACCGGCUAACUCCGUGCCAGCAGCCGCGGUAAUAC
rnacentral:rRNA from 1 species